rnacentral:tRNA from 1 species
GACUCUGUAGUGAAGUUCAUAGUGAGUUGCAAGCUCACUGAUGUACACUAAAGGUGUGCCGGGGUCU